AAAAUGAAAAAAAAAAGACUUCUAAUCUUUAAGUAGUGAGCGCACUUCAUUUUU
rnacentral:tRNA from 1 species